rnacentral:rRNA from 1 species
AUUGAACGCUGGCGGCAGGCCUAACACAUGCAAGUCGAGCGGAGCGGCGGACGGGUGAGUAAUGCCUAGGAAUCUGCCUGGUAGUGGGGGAUAACGUCCAGAAACGGGCGCUAAUACCGCAUACUAUCAGAUGAGCCUAGGUCGGAUUAGCUAGUUGGGGGGGAAAAGGCCUACCAAGGCGACGAUCCGUAACUGGUCGGAGAGGAGGAUCAGUCACAGUGGAACGAAGACACGCUCCAUACUCCACCGGGAGGCAGCAGUGGGGAACAUUGGACAAUGGGCGAAAUCCUGAUCCAGCCAUGCCGAGUGUGUGAAGAAGGUCGUCGGAUUGUACAUCACUUUUAGUUGGGAGGCGUUACCAACAGAAUAAGCACAGGCUAACUACGUGCAAGCAGCCGCGGUAAUAC